AACGUAGGUGGCAAGCGUUAUCCGGAUUUACUGGGCGUAAAGCGUGUGCAGGCGGGGGUACAAGUGGUGUAUGAAAUUUCCCAGCUUAACUGGGAAGGGUUAUGCCAGACUGUACUUCUGGAGUGCGAGAGAGGGGCGUGGAAUUCCGGGUGUAGUGGUGAAAUGCGUAGAGAUCCGGAGGAACCCCAGAGGCGAAGGCGGCGCCCUGGCUCGCAACUGACGCUCAUGCACGAAAGCGUGGGGAGCAAACAGG
rnacentral:rRNA from 1 species